AACGAACGCUGGCGGCAUGCCUAACACAUGCAAGUCGAACGAGACCUUCGGGUCUAGUGGCGCACGGGUGCGUAACGCGUGGGAAUCUGCCCUUGGGUUCGGAAUAACAGCGAGAAAUUGCUGCUAAUACCGGAUGAUGACGUAAGUCCAAAGAUUAUCGCCCAAGGAUGAGCCCGCGUAGGAUUAGCUAGUUGGUGAGGUAAAGGCUCACCAAGGCGACGAUCCUUAGCUGGUCUGAGAGGAUGAUCAGCCACACUGGGACUGAGACACGGCCCAGACUCCUACGGGAGGCAGCAGUGGGGAAUAUUGGACAAUGGGCGAAAGCCUGAUCCAGCAAUGCCGCGUGAGUGAUGAAGGCCUUAGGGUUGUAAAGCUCUUUUACCCGGGAUGAUAAUGACAGUACCGGGAGAAUAAGCUCCGGCUAACUCCGUGCCAGCAGCCGCGGU
rnacentral:rRNA from 1 species